UAAAUAUUUAAGUCAAACAUCAAAAUACAAAAUAAAAUGAAAUUUAAAGUACAACUUACCAGUACGAAAGUUUUCCCCAAUCUAAAGAAAUACUGCCCUGACAAGGUCUGGACAUUGAGUUUCAAGCACGAGAAAAACGAUCCCCGCGAAAAAGUGACCGGACAACUAUAGUUAUAUAUAGUAUCUAAAAAUAGAAAAAGGGGAAUUUACGAUGACCCACAAACGUUACAAUACCCCCUACCCAGAAAAACAAAUCGUCCGCGAUUUGACAACAUAGUAAGACAAUUUAAAGGACAAGACACGGUUGUCUUUAAACAGUUGAAAAUGUACAUUGUAUUGUAUAUAAUUUAAAAUUUCAAAGUCUAAAUGUUGAUAAAUGUCC
rnacentral:lncRNA from 1 species